CAGGUGGAUCAACGCUGUGGGCGCUGCUCAGGCGUUUGACCCUCCCGAGAUAGACCCUUGCCUUUUGAGUACCUCACGUUUCCUCGGCAGGCUCGCCUGCCAGCGGGGACCCCUCACAAACUCUUUGCAAUGAGAAGUGACAGUCUGAUAACAAACACAAUAUAUCA
rnacentral:misc_RNA from 1 species